AUUGAACGCUGGCGGCAGGCUUAACACAUGCAAGUCGAACGAGUGGCGAACGGGUGAGUAAUGCUUGGGAAUGUAGCUUAUGGUGGGGGAUAACUACGGGAAACGGUAGCUAAUACCGCGUACACUUGGAGGAGCCCAAGUGGGAUUGGGUAGUUGGUGAGGUAAAGGCUCACCAAGCCGACGAUCUCUAGCUGGUCUGAGAGGAUGACCAGCCACACUGGGACUGAGACACGGCCCAGACUCCUGCGGGAGGCAGCAGUGGGGAAUAUUGGGCAAUGGGGGCAACCUGACGCAGCCAUGCCGCGUGAAUGAAGAAGGCCUUCGGGUUGUAAAGUUCUUUCGGUAGCGAGGCGGUAACUAAAGAAGAAGCACCGGCUAACUACGUGCCAGCAGCCGCGGUAAUAC
rnacentral:rRNA from 1 species